UACAGAGGUCUCAAGCGUUGUUCGGAUUCAUUGGGCGUAAAGGGUGCGUAGGUGGCGCCGUAAGUCGGGUGUGAAAUUUCGGAGCUUAACUCCGAAACUGCAUUCGAUACUGCGGUGCUUGAGGACUGGAGAGGAGACUGGAAUUCAUGGUGUAGCAGUGAAAUGCGUAGAGAUCAUGAGGAAGACCAGUGGCGAAGGCGGGUCUCUGGACCUGUCCUGACGCUCAGGCGCGAAAGCUAGGGGAGCAAACAGG
rnacentral:rRNA from 1 species